rnacentral:rRNA from 1 species
UGGCGGCACUAGCGCGGUGGUCCCACCUGACCCCAUGCCGAACUCAGAAGUGAAACGCCGUAGCGCCGAUGGUAGUGUGGGGUUCCCCAUGCGAGAGUAGGGAACUGCCAGGCA